rnacentral:rRNA from 1 species
UCUGGGAAACUGCCUGAUGGAGGGGGAUAACUGCUGGAAACGGUAGCUAAUACCGCAUAAUGUCGCAAGACCAAAGUGGGGGACCUUCGGGCCUCAUGCCAUCAGAUGUGCCCAGAUGGGAUUAGCUAGUAGGUGGGGUAAUGGCUCACCUAGGCGACGAUCCCUAGCUGGUCUGAGAGGAUGACCAGCCACACUGGAACUGAGACACGGUCCAG